GUGGGGAAUAUUGCGCAAUGGGCGAAAGCCUGACGCAGCGACGCCGCGUGAGGGAUGAAGGCCUUCGGGUUGUAAACCUCUUUCAGCAGGGACGAAAACAGACGGUACCUGCAGAAGAAGCACCGGCCAACUACGUGCCAGCAGCCGCGGUAAUACGUAGGGUGCAAGCGUUGUCCGGAAUUAUUGGGCGUAAAGAGCUCGUAGGCGGUUUGUCGCGUCGGCUGUGAAAACUCGGGGCUCAACCCCGAGCCUGCAGUCGAUACGGGCAGACUAGAGUGCUGUAGGGGAGACUGGAAUUCCUGGUGUAGCGGUGAAAUGCGCAGAUAUCAGGAGGAACACCGGUGGCGAAGGCGGGUCUCUGGGCAGUAACUGACGCUGAGGAGCGAAAGCGUGGGGAGCAAACAGGAUUAGAUACCCUUGUAGUCC
rnacentral:rRNA from 1 species